UAAAAAGCGUUGAGAAGGAAAGUACGUAGUGGAGACUCUCUAGAGAAGGUCAUCUUGGCUGGAAAUGACCCGAGCUGUUCACUAUCGAAAUGCACCUUUGAGCGAUGAGCCGAAACUGUUAGUAGGCCAUACGUAUCGUCUGCGUUAAAGACAUUAAGCGGGGAGAUUCCAUAUCUCCCAAGCGGAGUGGAACCACGCAAAUCAUGCGUCUCUGUC
rnacentral:ncRNA from 1 species